AGGAUUAACGCUGGCGGCGUGCCUAACACAUGCAAGUCGAACGAGGUAGCAAUACCUAGUGGCAGACGGGUGAGUAACGCGUGGUCAACCUACCGUUGAGUGGUGGAUAACUAGCCGAAAGGUUAGCUAAUACCGCAUACGUCUCCGAGGGGCAUCCCUUGGCGAUAAAAGGAGCAAUCCGCUCGAUGACGGGACCGCGUCCCAUUAGCUAGAUGGUGGGGUAACGGCCUACCAUGGCACCGAUGGGUAGCUGGUUUGAGAGAGCGACCAGCCACACUGGGACUGAGAAACGGCCCAGACUCCUACGGGAGGCAGCAGUGAGGAAUUUUCCGCAAUGGGCGCAAGCCUGACGGAGCGACGCCGCGUGUGGGAAGAAGGCCUUCGGGUCGUAAACCACUGUCGAAGGGACGAUAAUGACGGUACCAGAGGAAGAAGCCCGGCUAACUACGUGCCAGCAGCCGC
rnacentral:rRNA from 1 species